CUCUGUCUCAAAAAAAAAAAAAAAAAAAAAAAAACCCAAGAAGGUGAGGGCAAAUUCAGAAGCUAUAGAGUGGAAAUAUGUAAUUUUUGAGGUAAAAUUUAACAAAGAUUCCCUGAGGAAAAGAUGUGCGUAGGGAGAGAACAGCAUGAUGCCAGUGAAAACAAACUGGGAACAGGCAGUUAAGCAGGAUCGAAUACCAUUUCUUUCUUAGGCGUUUCUGUGACAUUUAAAGCUUAUUUGGUUAAAGGCUUUACUCAGCAAAGGAUAUAUCUGUGAGGUUUCCACAAUUUUCUCUAUUUGGAUUACAAUUCCUGUUGUUCCUGGACUGCAUCUUCACAUGCUAAGUAUGUAAAGUCCAUGAUACCUCAAGUUGUGUUAGAUAUCAGAAAUCCUGAGUCUUCGAUGUUUAGUUUGCUCUUAGAUAUCAGGAUAGCCCACCAACUCUCAGUAGCUUAGUGAGUUAAGUCAGGGGUCAAAAAACUACCCCCUGUGGGCCCAAUCCAGCCCACUUCCUUAAAGGUUUAUUAGAAUAUAGCAAUGCCUGUGUUUUAGUGUAUUAUCUAUGCUUUCUUGCUGCAGUGUCAAAAUUUAGUAGUUGUGACAAAAACUAUGGACCACAAAAUCUAAAAUAUGUGCUUUCUGGCCCUUUACAGAAAAACGUGUACUAAGCCUUAUGUUAAACCAAAUGAUUUGUCUCCCAUAACUUAAAAAAGACCCCAGGUAGAGCAGGACUUAGACCUGCUUCUGUCAGGAUUCCAAAAUGAUUUUUUUUGAUUCUCAUAUCUGCCCUUCUGGUUAACCCUGGUCUUUAGGUUCAAGAUGGGGCUAGCAACCAGGGAGCACCUAUCUUUUCUUUUCAGUCAGUGGAAGGGAGGUGCUCUUUCAUUUGUAGUGUUAGGUAGUUUACUACUCACAGUGUUUGUGGCUCCUCUGGCCUUGAUUCUCAUCUACACUCAAGAUUAGACAGCUAGUUGUGUGUCCAGUUCUUUUGGCCUUUGUGAACUAUCAAGUUUCAACUCAGCCAGGUGCAGUGGCUCACACCUGUAAUCCCAGCCCUUUGGGAGGCUGAGGUGGGAGGAUCUCUUGAGCUCAGGGGUUCAAGAUUAGCCUGGGCAAUAUAGUGAGACCCUGUCUCUCCAAAAAAAGUUUUAAAAGUUAGCUAGCCAUGGAGGCACACAUGUGUGGUUCCAGGUACUCAGGAAGCUGAGAUGGAGGGAUCACUUGAGCCCAGGAGGUUAAGGCUGCAGUGAGCUGUGGUCCCAACACUGAACUGCAGCCUGGUGACAGAGUUGAGACACUGUCUCAAGAAAAAAAUAAGUUUCAUCUCUCCCUUGCACCAUGGACUCAACUUCCCUAUUUUGAGCCUCCAGGAGAUUUUUCUAUCUUAGCUUUUAGCUUGGCUGCAUAUUAACAUUUGGGAGAAUUUGUUAUAUAUUAUCAGGAUUCCUUUGUUUUUGAGAAAGAGGGAUGCAAAGCCAAAAUCAGCGGCUGAAUGACAACACAUUUAAUUCAGAACUUUUAGGGUGUCUUAUGUCACAAGGCAUCAAUGAGAAGGAAUGGAAUCCUGAAAAAUUUGGGAACAGAUGAGCAGAUUCCAACAAAGCUGAGGGUUUUGCUCAAUCUAGCUGAGCAUCUCUUGCCGUUAGAAGGAGCCCUUCUUCCUCUAUUUGAAGUCAGUCUCCCUUGCCUGAAAAGCCUGUGAUGACCUUCCCUGAGAUGGUUUCCUUGCAAAAGGCUUUAGAUCCUCAAGACUUGCUUCCACUACCUCUCAUUUUUCUAGACCAAUAAUGAAACUCGGGUCUUCACAGACAAUGGGAGGAGUCACCAAGUAGAAAAUACGACCAUGAGGAGAUACAUCGCCAAAGUAAUCUUAUGAGGGAAGUGGACCAAAUUUUGGGUAAAGCUGUUUUUAUAGCAUUUUAGUUUUUGAAAAAUCUUUUACCCUUUUUUCCUCUUCAAUUUUAAAUGAGUUGUUUUAAUUAACUUCUGGAUAUUUACAUUUCAGUUAGGAUUGGCUAGAAAAAUAAACUUCCAAGAAUCCUUGAACUUAUUAACAAAUUUAAUACAAGCAAACAAGUUAGCAGAUUCAGAGCGAGCAGAGAAAAAAAGAGAGCUAGCUUAGAAGCCCGUACAUGUUAAUCCUACAGUUCCAGUCUCUUAAUUCAGCUCUAAGGAAACAAGCUUAGAGAGUUUAAAUAAUUCCCAUAAUGGCCGUACAUUAUCCUUAGUGUAAUUUGCCAAUUAUUUUUUAAAUGUGCAUGAGAAAGGACCAUAAAUUUCAAAUGUAUAGCUGCCUCAAGUGCCAGAGGGCUUGGCAUUCUUUAGAAGUUGAAGAUCCCAUUGCAUUUCUUAUCAAUCUCUCAAGAGCAAAGAAAAGCCCAAAAAUUUUGUCAAAAGCAUUGACCAAGCUGUUUUGUUUUAACUAGUGUACCUGACACAGAAUUCAUCUUUUUAUACUUGGCAGAUGGCCUUUGUCCUAGUUGUCUAACCUAUGACCAAGUUUUCCCUGGUUGUGUAGAAAUUUUCUUGAGACUGGCAGGUGCCUCAGUGGUAAUCUUCCUUGUCUGUGACUAUUUUAUCCUUACAUGGGAGACGUUUUCUUUGGAGACUGGAGUCCGUCAUAGAUGGCAGUGACGUUCCUAGUGGCAUUUAUUAUUAUUCUUAUUUUGUUGUUACUGUUGUUGUUUAGAUACAAGGUCUCACUCUGUUGCCCAGGCUGGAGUGCAGUGGUACAAUCACAGCUCACUACAGCGUUGAACUCCUGGGCAAAGUGAUCCUGUUAUCGCAGCCUCCUGAGUAGCUGGGGAGACACGCGUGCAUCACCACAUCUGGCUAAUUUCUAAAGAAAUAUUUUUAGAGACAGGGUCUUGUUAUGUUGCCCAGGCUGGUUUGGAAGUCCUGGUUUCAUGUAUUUCUCUCAUCUCAGCCUCCCAGCUGGCUGGGAUUACAGGCACAAGCCACCAUGCCUGGUCCUAGUGGCUUUAAUUGUCCACUAAAAUCAGUUUAUUUACCAAAGAUUUACCUAAGUCAUGUGAACUUUAAAAAAAUGUGAGUUAACUACUAUUUUUCUGAUAAAUUACUUAAGUGCUUAAUUUUUUUCUUUAAGUCAGUUAAAUAGAGCUCUUUCAUACAUUUUGGUAGAAAAUAUUACAUACAUAUAUAGACACAAGAACAUACAGACAACACAAAAAGAUAUUUUCCCUUUUCCCUUUAAAAUUUUAGUCAUGAUACAUUAAAACAGUAAUAUACUGUGCCAUUUAGAAUGUUUAUUUUUGCUCUUUGAAAGUGUUCAGAAACAAGCAGGGAAAACAAAAGAGCCAAAUUAUUUACAGUUGCAUGUAACCAAAUUGACAUGAAACCAAAUGAAGCGUGCUCACAAAAAUUUUAAGCCAGGCUUGCAGAGCAAACAAAAUAUAAAACCGUGUUUGCAGAAAAACCAAAGCAAAUUCAGUAGAAAAUACAUGCCUCACAGAACGUAAGUUCUGUGGGAACCAGAGUACUCUCCAAAAGAACACUUGGCCUUAUACCAGAAGAGGCUUUCCAGAAAAGACAAAAAGUCUUUUGUAGUCCCACAAGGGUUGCAAGGUCCUUAAUUUAAGGUGGCCUUAUAGCCAAAUCCAGAUCCUGAAUAAAGUCAAAAGAACUUACCAAACGAAGGACGUCUGAGAAUCUAAGCAGAGAUUCACCAGAGCAGAGAAGGAAGGCCAUAGAAGCAGAGGCCACAAAAGGGGUCAAUGUUGGUACCUCACUAGAUUCCAGGGGAUGCUGGCCUGUUUGAGGUCAGCUGACUUCUUGACACAAACUUUAUGUCAACCUAAAUAGCAGACACAGAGAGAAGAUGUCUAAAAGAAAAUUGUAUUUAUUCAGGAAUGAGUAUUGCAAUGGGAAUAUAGUGGGUGUAUUCAGGGAGGUAAAGAAAGACAAGGGCUUUUAAAGAAGUGAGGAGGGUUACAUGAGUUUUUUGAAACAAUUAUCUUUGGCUACAAGGAUCACUAACAAAGGUGGUAGUAGUUCAAGGUUGGACAGCCAGUUGCUGGGCAGCUGUCUUAACCAAAGUAUUUUUGUAUGUGUAAGGUUGUGGUGGCCUUUGUGCAAGGUUGUUGUGAUUUUUGCAGUCUUUGUGAUCGUUCCUCUUAUCAGGUAUAUGUGCAUGAGAACCUUCUUUUCAUCACCUUCCCUGGCUCCAUUUGUCCUGCUACGGUGACACCAGUCUUUUAGUCCAUACAUUUGACUUCAUGAGGAGUUUGCUAUAAUCAAUUGAAUGAAGAAGAAACAUGUGGACCUGCUUUAUAGGUAAUUCUGCAUAAUGUUCUAGCAUCACCUAAAACCGGACAGCUGGCACACUACAGCCUCAGGCUGUGGUGGCCCCAAAGGAGAGUGGUAAAAGAAAAUAUUCCCAUUUGUUAGAAUUUUGAGUAGUGUACUUCAUAGUUUUUUUUUUUCCCAGAAGGAAUGAUGCCAGGGGGAUGAAUAGUUUUGCUGGAUGGUCAUGGACUUCAAAGAAGCAUGAUUGAUAAUUGGUUGACAAGGCAAAUUGACAAUGAGGUAUGUGAGUGGACUACUUUUAAUGAGCAGAAUAUAAAAUUACUUGCGGCCUAUUUAAUUGUCAAUAAUCAGCAACCUCACCAGAAGAUGAGCUUAAUAAUCAGGUGAUCAAGAUGGUACAUUCUGUGAAUAUUCUUCAAGAUUUUUCUCUAGUCAACCAUGUCCAUUCCCAGUGGGUGCAUGAACAGUGUAGUCAUGGUGGAAGAAAUGGAGCUUAUUAGUUCAGUACUAUGAAAUUCCAUUUACUAAAUCCAAUCUGGCUACAACCACAUUUAUAUGGCCAAGCUAUCAAAAGUAUGGACUAACACUGGACCUCAGAUAGGCACUGUUCUUCAAAGGGGACUACCAACCUCCUGCUGGAAUUUGAUUACACCGGACCACUUUGAUCAUGGAGGAGACAGCACUUUGUUUUCAGUGGAAAAGACAAUUACUCUAGAUAUGAAUUUGCCUUUCCUAUUCCAAUGUUUCUGAUAAAAGCAUCACAUGUGGACUUUACAAAAUGUUUUAUUUUCUGCCAUGGAAUUCCACCCAGCAUUUCUUGUGACCAGGGCAGUCAUUUUUCAAAAAAUGAAUUGUAUCCAUUGGGCUCAUGUUGAUAGAAUUCACUAAACUUACCAUGAUUCCUGUUAACAGUUCCAUUUCAGUAGUGGGACAUGCCUCAAUUCUCAGAAGUCCUACCAUCUCUGAUUUGUCUUCCCAUGUUUGUUUACCUAAUUCCUACUUUAAAAUGUCCUUGUCCCUAAAAUCCUAGUGAUUCUGCUUCUCUGAUUGAACCCUGACUGAUAUUGAACCAUUUCUGCUCCUUUUCAGACACUACCCCUCUCUCUCAACUAUAAUCACUUUCCUAACUUCUAUCACCAUUGACUACUUUUCCUUUUAUCUUUAUAUAUAUGAAACCAUAUUGUAUAUAUCCUUUUGUGUCUCUGUUUUGCCCAACAUUAUGUUUGUGAGAUUGAACUAUGCUGCUGUUUUAUAGCAAUUGUUUACUUAUUUUGUUACUGUAGAGCAAGUGUAGGCACACUACAUCCCAUGGGUGAAAUCUUGUAUAUAUUUCGGGGUGCACAUGUGUGUGUGUUUCUGCUUGCUAGAAGUGGAAUUUCUGUGUCAUGGAGAAUACAUAAAUUUAACUCUAGCAGAUACUGUGAAACAUUUUCCAAAGUGAUUGUACCAAUUUACACUCUUACAAGGACCGUGGUAGAGUUCCAUCUGCUCCACGUGCUUGCCAAUGUUUGGUGUUGUCAGACUUAAAUUAUUUUUAAAUUAUUUUUUAAAUUCACCAUUCUAAUUUUUUAAAAGAAGUAGAGUAUAAUGCUGGUUACCAGGGGCUGGAGUGGAGGGGUUGGGACAUAUUGGUCAAAAGAUAUAACAUGUCAGUUAUACACGAGUAAUUUUUAAAAAAUCAGUGAUUCUGGUAUGGCAAUAGAGUUGUCUCAUUGAGGGUUUAAUUUAUACUGCUGUAAUGACUAAUGAAGUUGAGCAAACAGAGCAUGUAUCUGAAGCCUUGUACAUUUGUAUAUUCUUCAUAUAGUGCUUACUCAAGUGAUUUGUUGAUUUGUCUAUUUGGUUGUCAGUCUUAUUCUUGUAUUUAUAGGAUUUCUUUAUAUUCUGCUUACAAGCCUUUUGACAUAUGUGUGUAUUGUGAUUAUCUUUUCAACUGUGGCCAGCAUUUUCACUUUCCUUAUGGUACAUUUGAUAAACAACCAUUCUCAUUUUAAGUUUUUUAAUUUUACUUUUCAGUUGGUACUUUAAAAAAUCGUUGCCAACAUUAGAGAAGGUCACAAAGAUAUUUUAGUAGCUAUUUAAAAAAAUCUUUUAAUUUUAAGAUCUAUAUUCCAUAUCAUAUUGAUAUUUACAUAUGGGAUGUGCUAAAGGUCAAGAUUAAUUAUUUUUCUAUGUGAAGAAUAUACAAUAUCCUCACUUCUUAAGAGAUUUCUCCAUUUUAUUAUCUUUGUCAAAUAUCAAAUGACUAGAUAUAUGUAAAUCUGUUUCUGAACUUUCUAUUAUCUUCCAUUAGUCUAUUCAUAUUUGCAUAUAUAGCACACUUUUAAUUACUGCAAAUACAUAAAAUGUCUUGAUGUCUUAUCGCAUAAACCCACCUCUUUCUAUUUUCUUUUGAUGUUUUGGUUAUUCUUGACUGUUGCUUUUGUUUACAGAUUUUAGACUCAGCUUGCCAGUUUUCACCAAAAAACUGCUGAGAAUUUUAUUAAAUAUAUAGAUUAUUCAAAGGAGCACUGAUAGCUUUACAACAUUGAAUUGUCCAGUAUCUGAAUAGCACCACAUAUUUUAAAUUUUCAUUGAAGUAUAAAUAUAUGUAGAAAAAUGUAUAUGUCAUAUGUGUCAUGAUUGUUUAAUUUUCAACACACUCAAAAUACCAGCAUCUGUAUCAAGAAACUGCACAUAACCAGCAUGUGGUAGCCAUGAAAAUGUAUUUCACAAAUAUUUUAAUGCAAGUAACCAAAGACCCCUAUUGUUGUGUUUUAAGGUCAAUCCUGUGUUUGCAUCAAGGCCAGAUUUUCUGAAGGCUGCUGCUCCCAGUCAAUAUCUGAGAGCAGUAAGGAUUCUAAGGUAGACCUGUUCAGGGAGACAUGGAUCUUCUCUGUUGGAUAGAUAAGAUUGUGAAUACCUGACUUUAAUGGCUUUUUCUUUAAUAUAACUUUUCUUUCUUUUUUUUGAAAUUUAGUCUCGCUCUGUUAUACAGGCUGGAGUGCAGUGGUGCGAUCUCGGCUCACUGCAACCUCCACCUCCAGGGUUCAAAGGAUUCUCCUGCCUCAGUCUCCCAAAUAGCUGGGAUUACAGACAUGCCACCACACCCAGCUAAUCUUUGUAUUUUUAGUAGAGACGGUGUUUCACCAUGUUGGCCAGGUGGGUCUUGAACUCCUGACCUCAGGUGAUCCGCCCGCCUUGGCUUCCCAAAGUGCUGGGUUACAGGUGUAAGCCACUGCACCUGGCCUAAUGUAACUUUUCUUAAGCUGUAUGGAAGUCUAGAAUGAUUUUAUCAAAUCUUCCUUUGUUGUUGUGUUGUUGUUGCUGUUGUUGUUGUUGAGACAGGGUCUCACUCUGUCACCCAGGCUGAAGUGCAGUGGCACAAUCUUGGCUCACUGCAACCUCUGCCUCCCCGGCUCAAGUGAUCCUCCAGCCUCUGCCUCCCAAGUAGCAGGGACUACAGGCACGUGCCACCACACCCAGUUAGUUUUUGUAUUUUUUUGUAGAGACAGAGUCUCACUUUGUUCCCUGGGCUGCCUUUUGUUCUUUACUCAGUGUUAGAUUUACAUCAUGGUGCAGCUUCUCUCCUGUUUUCUCUCACAAUCAUUUCCCCUAAUAAAAUUCUUACACAACUAA
rnacentral:lncRNA from 1 species